GCUCAGGAUGAACGCUAGCGGCAGGCUUAAUACAUGCAAGUCGAGGGGCAGCACGGUUAGCAAUAACUGGUGGCGACCGGCGCACGGGUGCGUAACACGUAUACAAUCUACCUUAAACAGGGGGAUAGCCUUUCGAAAGAGAGAUUAAUACCCCGUAAUAAAUUGAACGGCAUCGUUUGAUUUUGAAAGCUCCGGCGGUUUGAGAUGAGUAUGCGUCUGAUUAGCUAGUUGGUGAGGUAACGGCUCACCAAGGCGACGAUCAGUAGGGGAUCUGAGAGGACUAACCCCCACACUGGUACUGAGACACGGACCAGACUCCUACGGGAGGCAGCAGUAAGGAAUAUUGGUCAAUGGGGGCAACCCUGAACCAGCCAUGCCGCGUGCAGGAUGACGGCCCUAUGGGUUGUAAACUGCUUUUAUACCAGAGAAAACCCGAGUACGUGUACUCGGUUGAUAGUAUGGUAAGAAUAAGCAUCGGCUAACUUCGUGCCAGCAGCCGCGGUAAGACGAAGGAUGCAAGCGUUAUCCGGAUUCAUUGGGUUUAAAGGGUGCGUAGGCGGACCUGUAAGUCAGUGGUGAAAUCUCUUUGCUUAACAAAGAAACUGCCAUUGAUACUGCAAGUCUAGAGUAUAGAUGACGUUGGCGGAAUAUGACAUGUAGUGGUGAAAUACUUAGAUAUGUCAUAGAACACCGAUUGCGAAGGCAGCUAACGAAACUAUAACUGACGCUGAGGCACGAAAGUGCGGGGAUCAAACAGGAUUAGAUACCCUGGUAGUCCGCACCGUAAACGAUGAUUACUCGUUGUUGGCAAUAUGACCGUCAGCGACCAAGCGAAAGCGAUAAGUAAUCCACCUGGGGAGUACGCCGGCAACGGUGAAACUCAAAGGAAUUGACGGGGGCCCGCACAAGCGGAGGAGCAUGUGGUUUAAUUCGAUGAUACGCGAGGAACCUUACCUGGGCUUGAAAGUUAGCGACCGGUCCUGAAAGGGAUCUUCCAGCAAUGGCGCGAAACUAGGUGCUGCAUGGCUGUCGUCAGCUCGUGCCGUGAGGUGUUGGGUUAAGUCCC
rnacentral:rRNA from 1 species